rnacentral:rRNA from 1 species
CGGUACCUGAAGAAAAAGCAUCGGCUAACUCCGUGCCAGCAGCCGCGGUAAUACGGAGGAUGCAAGCGUUAUCCGGAAUCAUUGGGCGUAAAGGGUCCGCAGGUGGCGAAUAAAGUCUGCUGUUAAAGACCGGGGCUUAACUCCGGAAAGGCAGUGGAAACUGAUUAGCUAGAGUAAGGUAGGGGUAGAGGGAAUUCCCAGUGUAGCGGUGAAAUGCGUAGAUAUUGGGAAGAACACCGGUGGCGAAAGCGCUCUACUAGGCCGAAACUGACACUGAGGGACGAAAGCUAGGGUAGCGAAAGGGAUUAGAUACCCCUGUAGUCUUAGCGGUAAACGAUGGAUACUAGGUGUAGCUUGUAUCGACCCGAGCUGUGCCGAAGCUAACGCGAUAAGUAUCCCGCCUGGGGAGUACGCACGCAAGUGUGAAACUCAAAGGAAUUGACGGGGGCCCGCACAAGCGGUGGAGUAUGUGGUUUAAUUCGAUGCAACGCGAAGAACCUUACCAGGGCUUGACAUGUCGCGAAUCUAGCGGAAACGUUAGAGUGCCUUAGGGAAUGCGAACACAGGUGGUGCAUGGCUGUCGUCAGCUCGUGUCGUGAGAUGUUGGGUUAAGUCCCGCAACGAGCGCAACCCUCGUCCUUAGUUGCCAAUAUUAAGUUAGGCACUCUAGGGAGACUGCCGGGGACAACUCGGAGGAAGGUGGGGAUGACGUCAAGUCAGCAUGCCCCUUACGUCCUGGGCUACACACGUACUACAAUGGUUGGGACAAAGGGCAGCAAGCUCGCGAGAGUAAGCGAAUCUCAUCAAACCCAGCCACAGUUCAGAUUGCAGGCUGCAACUCGCCUGCAUGAAGUAGGAAUCGCUAGUAAUCGCAGGUCAGCAUACUGCGGUGAAUUCGUUCCCGGGCCUUGUACACACCGCCCGUCACACCAUGGAAGCUGGCUACGCCCGAAGUCGUUACCCUAACCCGGUUUUGGGAGGGGGAUGCCGAAGGUAGAGCUGGUGACUGGGGUGAAGUCGUAACAAGGUAGCCGUACCGGAAGGUGUGGCUGGAUCACCUCCUUU